UCAAUUGCCUGGGUUAUUUUGGUGCUCCUUCAUUUGUUCCUGGAGAUGAGAAACAUUGUGACCCCUUCCAAUCUCCAUGCAGCCUGCAAACACCUUGGAAGGUGUUUCUCUUCACACUGGACUGCCUGAAUUUGUUGGAAGGACGAUGAGGUA